GGAGAGGUGACCGAGUGGUUGAAGGUACCAGUCUUGAAAACUGGCGUGCGGGCAACUGUACCGUGGGUUCGAAUCCCACCCUCUCCGCCA
rnacentral:tRNA from 1 species